rnacentral:rRNA from 1 species
GUGUCUGGUGGGUAGUUUGACUGGGGCGGUCUCCUCCCAAAGAGUAACGGAGGAGCACGAAGGUUGGCUAAUCCUGGUCGGACAUCAGGAGGUUAGUGCAAUGGCAUAAGCCAGCUUGACUGCGAGCGUGACGGCGCGAGCAGGUGCGAAAGCAGGUCAUAGUGAUCCGGUGGUUCUGAAUGGAAGGGCCAUCGCUCAACGGAUAAAAGGUACUCCGGGGAUAACAGGCUGAUACCGCCCAAGAGUUCAUAUCGACGGCGGUGUUUGGCACCUCGAUGUCGGCUCAUCACAUCCUGGGGCUGAAGUAGGUCCCAAGGGUAUGGCUGUUCGCCAUUUAAAGUGGUACGCGAGCUGGGUUUAGAACGUCGUGAGACAGUUCGGUCCCUAUCUGCCGUGGGCGCUGGAGAAUUGAGGGGGGCUGCUCCUAGUACGAGAGGACCGGAGUGGACGCAUCACUGGUGUUCGGGUUGUCAUGCCAAUGGCACUGCCCGGUAGCUAAAUGCGGAAGAGAUAAGUGCUGAAAGCAUCUAAGCACGAAACUUGCCCCGAGAUGAGUUCUCCCUGAGACCUUGAGUCUCCUGAAGGAACGUUGAAGACUACGACGUUGAUAGGUCGGGUGUGUAAGCGCAGCGAUGCGUUGAGCUAACCGAUACUAAUGAACCGUGAGGCUUAACCUU